GAUACCAUGAGUGCAGUAGCAGGCUAGCAGUUCAUGGCUCGUGAUCGUGAGGCGUAGUUUAGCCGACAGAGCUGGAAAGGAAAGGAAAGGAAUUAGUGAGUUGUAGUAGCGGCGAGUGGUUGCCCACACGGUCGAGUACUACACUGCUCUCAGUCCACUUUAGGCGUCAACUUUUCGGCAAACAUCAUUUCCGUUUCUAGAUUCAGUACGGGAGCCGCUAAUGAGAAAAGGCAGUGCAAUAAUCAUCUUCACAAUUCGCUCGAGUAGAGUACGUGCGAUGGGUUCUGAUAGAAAUGAGGGGUGCAUGGCAGCUGGCAAAGGCGACGGGUUUCGGCGUUUAGAACAUGUCCUCGUGCCCGGAUUUAUUAGCCCUACAGCGUCCACGUCCCCCUGUUUGUAAUCCACAUCGCUUACCAAUAAGAACCUAAAUUGCAGUUCCAACAGUCAGCGCGGAACACAUCGCAGCCUCGGCACGUACGUACGAUCAUGUUUGGAAUUUACCCUGCACGGCGAGAAGAACAAUCCCGAUCGCCCGUCCCCAUCAAAAUCACAAUCCCCAAUUCGAUCGGUAGAUUCGGGCAGAUGCCAUUUCCGGACCCAACCUGCCCCCUGACCAACGAGUAAUAAAUACUCUAAAAAAGAAUGGCCGCCCGUCUGAUCCGAAACACGAGCACGAGGAAGAAGCAAGAGGCUUUUAAUUAGGGAAGUGCCGUGCACCACGCAAAGACAAAAGCAGGAGUUACACAAAUCGGACGACAAACCACCGACCCGGACGACGAGACGAGCAGCAGGCGAGGCGAGUGAUAUCACUGACAUGGCACCCACUCACGCGCCAAAAAACAAAACCCGGAAGGAUAAUCCGAUCGUCGGACGGAUCACCUCGCACCUACCAGUGAGUCAUCACCAACCAGCAACGAGGUCGAAAUAAGUCGAGACUUCUUUCCCGAAAAGGCUCAAAUUCAAACCCUUCGCGCUCGAUCGAUAUCGCGUCGGCGCUGGUCCAGCUUCAGAACGCGUCGAACCCAUGCGCCGGUUGAAUGGUAAAGAAGAAGAAGUUGGUGGUACUCCAGCUGAGAAGGACGUCGCGGUUGUUGGACUCUGUAAAAGCUUUGGCCGAUUCCGGGGGCUUUCCGGUCGCCGGUGGACGUCGGUCGGUUGCUUGGACUGCGCACAAGUACAGUUCCUUGCUGAUGACCCCGACGUCUCCUGGUUUGAGUGCGGAGUUCUCCCGUGGAGAAAGAGGAAAGACGUGCUAGUACGGGUGCCCUGUUGCUGCGACGGGGACAAGUCAAAGUGCCUUCCGCUAGCGACACAUCAUCGUUCCUCGCAAAAACUUGCCCGCUGUCCCGAAUUCAAUCUCCGGAGAUGUUUGUUCGCGUGAUCGCGCCCUGGUUAAGUUCGAACACACGAGACCGCGCUACCAGCGCGUCGUGGCCCAUCUUCCAUACCAUGCGUUGCCGAAGGCUUGUUAAUGCACCACUACGGCUGCUGCAGCUGCUGCUGCUACUGGAUUGGGAAGUCUAGCACUGCUAGCAACAAACACUCCUGAGUUCAAUAAAAAAAAACGAACAUUCCUUGAUCCAAGCCAGUUUUUGAACCGCCAAACCAAGGUUUUCUUUCACAUUCCGUCGCUCGAUUCGAUGCGGAUAAUCGCACGCACGCAGCUGCAGCCAGCCAGAAUCAGGCCGUCGCAUCGCAAGUGGGCAACAACACCACUGUUGCUGCUGCCGCCGCUGAGACGACGUGAGAUUCUAAGCAGGAAGAAGCAAUGAUUCCGUCCACUUCAUUCGGCCGUCCGGCGCCUGACGCGGCCCGGAACUCCCAAACACCACGAUGCGGAGUACUAUCCAACCGAAAACGCGCGAGUUAAUACGCAAACAACGCGCGGCGCCUGCCUACCCGUGACCCGAAACGCUCCUUUCUCCUUCCUCCCUCCCUCGCUUUGCUUCCACCACGGCUCCAUAAUAAAAGCGUUCCCCUUUUUCCGCCCCCGCCCGUUCCCCCCCCGUCGCAGGCACCCCAGAUCUCGCCCACACACCCCCAGCUUCUUGUACUUCCUACUUCCUUCAAUUCCCCACUUCUCCCCUCACCGACGAUCAACUGGCCGCCCCAAUCCGUGUUUGUUCGGCGCUCCCAAUCUCUCCCAGCUGCCGGGCGGUGGCCACAUUGACCUGCUCCGUCCCCUUCCCGCGUUGAGCGCUUCUGCGUUGGAUUGUUGGGGGGAUUACGAUCGAUAGCGGUGCCAAGUUCGUGGUUGUUUUGGCUGCGGUUUGGAUCGUGGCGCGCUGCGGAUGGGCUGCACGGGGUCGAGGCACGCGCUGCGGGGCGGGGUCAAGGGCGGCGGCGGCCGGUCGUACCGGCGGAGCGCCUCCGGACCGGCCGCCGUGCACCACCACACCGUCGCCCUCAGGUCCUCCACGCUGGGCUCGCUCAGCCUCGACCGGGACGAGGAGAUGAUCAAGUGGCGCGCCGCCGCCGACGGCGGCCGUGGCGCCGCGGCGGCGAAGGCCACGCCGCUGCCGCUCCCUCUGCCGCCGCCGCCGGCCCCGCAGCAGCAGCCGGCGAGACGUCAAAGGCAGGUGAUUGGCACGCCGACCAAGACGCCGGUCCGCGAGCCCGAGGUGAUCAACGUGUGGGAGCUCAUGGCGGGCCUCGACGACAAGGAGCAGCGCGACGGCGCCGAAGAGCACGAAGACGACCGGCACCGGGAACGGUCGCAGUCGCAGCCGGGAUCCCCGGAUUUCGACCCGGAGAUCAUCUCCGCGUUCCGGAAAGCGCUGGGCGAGGAAGUGUCCCCGCCACGAGACAAGGGCGAAGACGACGAAUGCGUGAUCAUCAGGAAGCGCGAGAUACAGAGGUUCCCGGGCAUCGUGCGCGCGCGUGUCAGCGCGUUCCAGCAGAGGAUCGACGCCAAGCUCGCCAAGAUGGCGCGCGCCACGCCGGUGCCCGCGCCGGCACCGGCGCCUCCGGAGCCGCAGCAGCUGCUGCCUCCGCCGCCGCCGGACAGCCAGCGGAAGGUGGUGCUGUACCUGACGAGCCUGCGCGGCAUCCGCAAGACGUUCGAGGACUGCUGGGCCGCCAAGUGCAUCCUGCAGGGCUACGGCGUGCGUGUCGACGAGCGCGACCUGUCGCUGCACGGCGGGUUCAAGGACGAGCUCCACGCCUCGCUCGGCGCCAAGGCGGGCAGGCUCCCGCAGGUGUUCGUCGACGGGAAGCACCUGGGCGGCGCCGACGACAUCCGCCGCCUGCACGAGGCCGGGGAGCUCUCCAGGGCGCUGGAGUGCUGCGACACGUCGCCGUCGGUCGGCGUCGCCGGGUGCGGCGGAGGCAAGGGCGGCGUCGCGCUGGAGGCGUGCUCCGGGUGCGGCGGCGUCCGGUUCGUCCCGUGCGAGGAGUGCUCCGGCAGCUGCAAGGUGUUCCUCGAGGAGCUCGACAGCUUCCGGCGAUGCCCCGAGUGCAACGAGAACGGGCUAGUGCGCUGCCCUCUCUGCUGCUUGUAACGGGAUUGGGACUUACUUCCGUAGUGUGGUUCUUUUGGAAUUUCUGAUGAGUGACCUUGUUAGUUCGGAUGAUUUGUUGUACAGAGAAGUGGAGUACACUUCUGUAGUUCUACUACGUUUUAGGACUGAUCAAGUAACAUGUUCCUGUAAUGUUCUUACUAGUAUUUCCCAGUGGGAUUGGAAUUGGAAGUGUAAGAGCAGAAACGACUGCAAUUUGAUGGACAAGGAUAGUUCUGAAUCCGUAAGAUCAGGAGCUACAACAACACUGGUACUACCACACAGUACAAGUCUUCGAAUCAUCGAAGUGCAGUGGGGUGUGGCUCUGUUCCCGUCCCGCAAUCCCUGAAACUGGCGUCCGGUCUGAUCGAUCGAUCGAUCGAUCGGCUAAUCGCGUGAUGUGCCAUCUGAACCACGGAAAUGCGUGAACCGGACGACGAAGAUGUCAGCAAGGAAGGAAGGAAGGCGAGGUGUCCCAUGUUUUGUGCCCUGGUCAAAGAUUUGCACGCCGUCGACUCUGCCUGGACAAGCUAUAGUUUGCUAGACAUCAGCGUCCUUCCAGAACAGUGAUUACCGACACACAUCACCUCUGCUUGCUGGUUCCAGUUUCCCGAAUAGCGACAGAUAAAGUUCUUUUCGAGGUAUGAAGAGGCGUCCACGUCGGCUUCGACGUGUGAAGGAGCAAGUGCCCUGGAACUGGAAGCCAUCGGCCAUGGAGGAUCAACAGAAACUGGGAUGGGCUUGCUACGCAGCAAAGUUCUGGGCUUUCUCCCAAAUUUUGCAGCUGCCUUCUGUUCGGAGGGGACUGGGGAGGGCAAAUUAUACGUCCCUCAAACAAAAAAGGAUGAGACGGAUUUCAAAACACCUAAUGUCUACGUCAAACUAUUCAUUUCUACAUAGAACUGGCUUUUUUUCCCGGAAGCCCACUGCGAUAAUAGUGUUGGGCCAAAAGUAUAUUGUCAGAUUUUUCCCGGAGGCCCGCUGUGAUAAUAGUAUUGGGCCAAAAGUACAUUCGCAGUUUUUUUCCCGGAGGCCCGCUAGCCUGUUCAAAGGGCCCAAACUUCUGUACUGGAAGUCCUGCCCAAAACCUUAUUUGUGGAUCUUCUAGAAAAAAAACUUUUGUCCCACGAAGCAGAACCACGUCAAAAGCCAAAAGGCCUAAAAGCUCUAGCGGCAGGGCGGCCAUCAUCCGAAGACGGACUCGUCUAGUGCCUGAACACCCAUAUUGGGUUACUAAUAAAUAAAUGUGACUAGUUAUUGGUCGGGUGCGGAUACCAUGAGAAAAAUGAGAUGUAUUUUGAAACAGAAGGAGUACCAAAAGUGUGAGUUCCAUGCUGCAUAAUUCAGAUAGCCCCUCGAUCGAGCAGCUCGUUGAUUCGUCCCGCUCCACGCCGCCAUAAUUCGGUUAUCAAACCGAGACGCACGUAGCAAAUCCAGGCCAACCCACGCGCUCAAGAAAAAAAAAAUGCAAAUCCGGUCCAUUUCACGCGCCUAAUCAAGACGAGAUCAACAACCUGUCAAAGCGCACAUGUAAACACCAGACAGAUCGAUCGACCAGAACCUGGGCGCCCCCCAGCUCAGCUCGUGAACAGCACCUAGUAGUUUGGACGCAGAGGACGGGGAGAACCCUUUUUCGAAAGAAAAAAAGAGUAGUUGUAGCAUGUCAGCGUCAUGGAUCCGAUCGUACGUGACGUACUCCUUUUUUUAACUUCCCGAUCCAUGGCUCUAGCUUUGCUGCAACGAAAGUUACGGUUAAUCACUCGAUCUCCCGUCGAGAUCAGUUGUGCGGGUCGGGCAAUAAUAUGGGGGCAAUGAGAAGUAACACCAACAACUGGUGGCCCGCUUGCUCUCUUUUCUCUUUCUCUCGUUGCGCUGUUGUAGUACGUAGACAACGCUGACAGAGAUGGAUGUGUGUGCGUGGGAGCUAGUAAUCAUAUUUGGUGAUGGCAAAAUGUCUGCCUCGUAAUCAUGCAUUUUCUCCAUGCAUGCAUUCCAAUUAACCCGUAAACCAGUCACAAACAGCACCAGGAGGAAAAGGGGGGGAAAAGGAAAGGAAGGGAGGAAGAUAUUGCUGGCCAUCUAGAACGCUGGUUGGUACCAAGUUGUGCAACCCUCGGCUCCAAUUGUUCCCGCCAUCCAUUCAUCCUACCAUGCAACUGCAAAUGGCAGCUGUGUUAAGCAGCACGUGUAAAGACACCGGCCACCUUGUCUAUUCCUCAGUGCUGUGGCCUGUUGUGGGGGAUUGUGGAACGUUAACUGCCCCCAACAUAAUAUCCCUUUCUUAUCCCUUUCCGGCCCAGGCAGAGGAAAAGAGAGCAGGAAGGCCGAGACGUUAACUUCCAUUGAUAUUUAAAUCAUGGCAUGCAUCCUCCGAUCCUCGUCGUCGCUCCUAUGGCUAGUGGCCGGCCUCGACCGCGCGUUGCUGCAUGGCUUUGCGUAUGUUGCGAUCUCGUCUACGCCAACAGACGAUUGAGAGAGUGAAAGGCAGCUAGCCAGAGGCCGGGGAGUUAGUACGAGUCCAAAUCCAAUCCGACGCGAGCGCAGAGAGAUGAUGAUAAUCUGAUAAAUUAAAUUAAAGAAGGGGGAAGAAAAGGGGGCAACCGGCAACCGCUCGCUGUCAGGGAAAGGCUUUUUCCGGCGGUGCAAAUGUUACACACACUGAAGAUAGUGAAGGGCCGGCUUUUAAAUCUGCUCUACGUACGUACGUACGUACGCACUCCGUGUAGUACUUGCUCGCUUAAAGAACUGACCGACCAAAUGAUACAGCAGCUUUCAGUUUAUACAGGGGCCGUCCGUCGUCGUUGGGAUUUACCUUUCCGGCCUACUGUUCGACGACCAUGAUAUCGUUUCAGUUAGCUAGUAAGUAAGCAGCGGGCAACAGCUAGCGUCGCCAACAACAACAACAACAACGACAACAACAAAAACACGCGCCAUCGACAGCUGGUAAUUAAGACUCGAGCGAGCGAGAGCAAUCAGACGAACGCAUAUAUCAGACAUUUUUGUCUACGUACCGUGUUCAUUCAUUCAUUCAGCCAGGCAGGCAGGCGUUUCGUCUGGCUUUCUGUAGUACGGGGUUACUGUACGCUUGGAGAUUUUUCUUCCCAGGCGAGUGAUUGGCCCAACUGGUGAUACUAGAUAGGUAGGAAAGUAAGUUAAGUACUCGCCGCACUCCUGCUUCGAUCGAUCACCCG
rnacentral:lncRNA from 1 species